AGAGUUUGAUCCUGGCUCAGGACGAACGCUGGCGGCGUGCUUAACACAUGCAAGUCGAACGGAGCACCCCUGAAGGAGUUUUCGGACAACGGAAGGGAAUGCUUAGUGGCGGACUGGUGAGUAACGCGUGAGGAACCUGCCUUCCAGAGGGGGACAACAGUUGGAAACGACUGCUAAUACCGCAUAAUGUGUUUUGAUGGCAUCAUUGAGACACCAAAGAUUUAUCGCUGGAAGAUGGCCUCGCGUCUGAUUAGCUAGUAGGCGGGGUAACGGCCCACCUAGGCGACGAUCAGUAGCCGGACUGAGAGGUUGACCGGCCACAUUGGGACUGAGAUACGGCCCAGACUCCUACGGGAGGCAGCAGUGGGGAAUAUUGGGCAAUGGGCGCAAGCCUGACCCAGCAACGCCGCGUGAAGGAAGAAGGCUUUCGGGUUGUAAACUUCUUUUAAGAGGGAAGAGAAGAAGACGGUACCUCUUGAAUAAGCCACGGCUAACUACGUG
rnacentral:rRNA from 1 species